GGGUCUCAGUCUGUCACCCAGGCUGGAAGGCAGGUGUGUGAUCAUAGCUUACUAUAGCCUCAAACUCCUAGGUUCAGGCAAUCCUCCUGCCUCAGCCUCACAAGUACCUAGGACUUCAGGCAUACGCCACUAUACCUGGCUAAUUUUCUUUCUUUUUUUUUGAGAGACAACAUCUCCCUGUGUUGCCCACACUGGUGUCAAACUGCUGGGCUCAAGGGAUCCUCCCACCUUGGCCUUCCAAGUGCUGGAAUUAUAGGCACAAGCCACUGUGCCGAGGCCAAUAAUGCCAAAGAAAACCCACCAAAGAAAGUUAAACUGGGAGAUACAGGAUGGAAUGAGUGAAUCAUUCUGGAAAAUGAAUAGCACAAGUAGCUAAAAGUCAACACAAAUAGAGGAGGAGGAAAAAAACACUUUAUGAAAGCAAUGGACUACAUAUCCACAGCUCUGGACUGGCCUUUCAGCUGAAGAAUAAAGCCAAUCAAAAGGAUUCUGACUUGAAGGGUUCAGAGCAGUCACACAAAAUGUACAGGGAUCUGGCCAGUUUCAAACAAAAGUGAUGGUUUAUUAAGUACCCAACAGAUAACCAGGCACUUUGCCUCUGUUCUCAUAAAACCGUUCAUGAGCACUGGGCAUUCAUCGUGUCAACAGUCAUUUAACAAACUAUUACUGAAAGUAUGAUGUCCAGUGAGCUCAGGGAAGGUUUAUACUGUGGAUCAUUAUUGUAUUUUUGGUAUAUGAUACUGCCCUGAUACAUUAAAAAAUGCUCAAUAAAUAUCUGUUGAGCAUCUGUUCUUUUUUUUUUUUUUGAGAUGGAGUCUCGCUCUGUCACCCAGGCUGGAGUGCAGUGGCGCGAUCUCGGCUCACUGCAAGCUCCGCCUCCCAGGUUCACGCCAUUCUCCUGCCUCAGCCUCUCUGAGUAGCUGGGACUACAGGCGCCCGCCACCACACCUGGCUAAUUUUUUGUGUGUUUUUUUUUUUUUAGUAGAGAUGGGGUUUCACCGUGGUCUCGAUCUCCUGACCUCGUGAUCCGCCCGCCUCGGCCUCCCAAAGUGCUGGGAUUACAAGCAUGAGCCACUGCGCCCGGCCGAAGCAUCUGUUCUUAAAAGACUAAAGUCAGAGUAUUAGACAGGUAGGAAAAUAAUUCUGAAAAUAGUAUCAUCUAUCUAGCAUGGUCCCCAAAGUUUAGCAUGCAUGGAAAUCACCUGACAGAAGGUUACACAGCACAGACUGCUGGACUCCCCACAUUUUUUGGUGCAGUAGAUCCAGGGAGGGGACUGACAAUUUCCAUUUCUAGUAAGUUCCCAGGUGAUGUUGCCGCUGCUGGUUGUGAAAUGCUAAUUGCUUUUUUUCUUUCUUCUUUUUCUUUUGAAGUUGUUGUUCUCUAGCUUCUCUUGCUAGAAAAUACUGAUUCCUUAUCAGGAACUUAUCCUCUGCUAUCUACUAUUUUGUAUAAAAUAUCAAGGGAACAAAAGGCUGUUUGAUAAGAACAAACAUGUUUUCAAAUUGUUUUACUUAUGUUUAUUUAAAAGAAGGCAUUUUUCUCAAUCUAUUUUAUUAUUACAGUGAAGAUGAAACAUUGAGCAUAGCUAGCAAAUGCUUCUUUAAAGCUUGAUUUAGAUAUUCAGGUUCCUAACAUUUGUUUUUUUUGGUUUUUUUUUUUUUGAGACAGAGUCUUGCUCUGUUGCCCAGGCUGGAGUGCAGUGGUGUGAUCUCGGCUCACUGCAAGCUCCGCCUCCUGGGUUCACACCAUUCUCCUGCCUCAGCCUCCCGAGUAGCUGGGACUACAGGCACCCGCCACCACGCCCAGCUAAUUUUUUGUCUUUUAGUAGAGAUGGGGUUUCACCGUGUUAGCCAGGAUGGUCUCGAUCUCCUGACCUCGUGAUCUGCCCACCUCGGCCUCCCAAAGUGCUAGGAUUACAGGCGUGAGCCACCGUGCCCAGCCAUCAGGUUCCUAACAUUUGGCAAAGUAAUGUGAUAGUGACAGAUAUCAGAAGAUAAAAACAUGGGCAACAUGUCAUAAUAUGCACACUUGAAACCAAAGUCAAGCCAAAAUAAGACACAACUUCAUUCACUAGGUCCCUGAAGACCUCCAGCUUUCUGUUUGCAUACUUAUCACAAAACCUAGGAUAGUUAUAAUAAAAAAGACAAUAACAAGUGUUGGUGAGGAUAUGGAGAAGCUGGGACCCUCAUACAAUGCUGCUGAGACUGUAAAAUGGUGUAGCCAUUUUGGAAAACAGUCUGACAGCUCCUCAAAACAUUAAGCAUAGUUACCAUAUGACCCAGAAAUUCUAUUCCUGAAUAAUAUCCAAAGGAAUUCUCCACACAAAAACUCAUAUAUAAAUGUUCACAGCAGCAUUAUUUGUUAUAGCAAAAAAGUGGAAGCAACCCAAAUGUCUAUCAACCAAUGAAUGAAUAAGCAAAAUGUCGCAUAUCCAUGCAAUGGAAUAUUACCCAGCAAUAAAAGUACAUGAAGUACUGAUACAUGCUAUGACAUAUAUGAACCUUGAAAAUGCUAUAUUCAGUGAAAGAAGCCAGUCAUACAAUAUGUGGUCACGAAAGACCACAUAUUGUAUAAUUCCAUUUAUAUGAAAUGUUCAAAACAGACAAAUCCAUAAAGAAUAGGGUGGUUAGUGGUUGCUCUGAGUUGUGGGGAAUGGAGGGAUUGGAGGAUCAUAGCUAAAGGAUACAGGGUUUCUUUCUGGAGUAAUGUAAAUGUUCUAAAAUUAAUUGUGGUGAUGACUGCAUAAAUCUGAAUAUACUAAAAAUCAUUAAACUGUACACUUUAAAUGGGCAAACUGCAUGGGUGUGAAUUAUGUAUCAAUAAAGCUAUUACAAAAUCCAACCAACCAACCAAGAGAGACAAAUUUUGAAAAAUAUAAGAAUGGGACAGAUAUAUCAGAGGAACAAAAAAAAUAGAAUAGCAAACUGAAUAUUGCUUUUUGACAAUUUAAGUCAAAAAACAUCACAAGGGUAAAAAAGGAACAUUAUAUACUGGUAAGGAACAGCAGAUAAAGAUGUAGAGAUAUGUCCGUUUAUAUACCUAGUAAUAAUAUAGCUUUGAAAUUUUUAAAGCAACAAUUGACCAAACAACAGAAGAUACUGGACACCCGGAAAGGUUAGCUCCAGAAAGAUUCAAGUCCUGAAUGUAAAAGGACAACUUACGAAGCUAAUAGAAGCAGCUGUGGAAAAUAUCUUUCUAACCGUCCGUCAUGGCUUUUCUGAACCAUGUGUUUAAAAAAUAAACACACACACACAACAAAAUGAUGGAUUUGAUUACGUUAAAAUUAAAGAUUUCUGUUCUGAGAAUGGCAACAGAUAGGAGGUGUAUGCAAACCAAAUGGAAGAAUACGUAAGAACUCCUCCAAAUCCACAGUAGUGAAAUAACAUGAAACCCAAUUUUUAAAAAAUGAACCAAAUAUAUGAACUGGCUAUUCACAGGAGUAAUCUGAAUAGCUGAAAAAUAUAAAGAGAUGCUCAAGAAAAAUGUAAGUAAGUGCAUUAGGACAAGGGCUGUUAAAAAAAAAAUCUAAGAAUAAGAGAUGACUUUAUACUCAUCAUGCUAAUAGGACAGCAGGGUAAUUCCAAGUGUUGGCCAGAACGUCCUGGCCAGAUACAGGAGUCCUCAGACACAGGCAACCUAGCAGUGGUGCUCUGGAGACCAGCGUAUCCUGCCUCUGUGACUACACAAUGACACUCCUCAGUACCCAGAGAAACACACGGGUUCCUGAAGGGACGUAGGAGGAUGCGAUCUGUGUCCUAUCUGGAAUAUCAAGGGGAUGAAGGCAAUGGAAGUAGCUACCACUUGGUGAACUAGACAAACUCAAUGUAAAACUACCAUCAGAGCCACCCUGGAGUUAAGGCAAGGCCAUCACAGUCUCCUCCAAAGGCCACUGAUAUGGAACUGGGAACCUCCCUCCGUAGAAUGCUAAAUGGCUGAUGUGAACUUGGUUAAGGAUCUAGAAUUCUUCUUAUGAAGAAAUAUUCAAGCAUCUAUGAAGUAGACAGGAUGGUAUCAUCAAUGCCCCUGUGCCCCUCACCAGCUUCAACAAUGAUCAUCAUGACUUCACAGCUCCUCUAUAUCUGCACUACUUUUCCUCUGCUCCCACACUGCUGUUUUUGUUUGUUGGCUUAUUAACAACUUUAUUAAGACAUAUUUCACAUACCACAAAAUUCAUCCAUUUCAAGUAUAUAACUCAGUGAUUUCUAAUAACUUUACCAAGUAUUGAAACCAUUGCCAUAAGUCAAUUUUAGGACAUUUCCAUCCUUCCAGUAAUGUCACUCAUGUCCUUUUACAGUUAAUGCCCAUUCCCAUCUCCCAUCACAGGCAAACAUUAUUAAAAUUUUAAAUAAAAGAGAAUUUACAAUUCAGUUACUCAGUUUCUAGCCACAUUUCAGUUGUUCCACUGGGCUAGUGGCUACUAUACUGGGCAGAGCAGACACAGAACAUCUCCCGCCCCACAGCAGAACGUUCUACUGGACAGCACUGAACUAUAGCGAACAUGAUUAGAAAUGCAGAGACUAUGAAAACAGAAGGAAAAUUCAACAGUUUGACAAGUUGCAAGAGUAGACAAAAAGGGGUAGAAAAAUGUUUCUCUGGCACAAGUUGUCAAGCAGAGGAAAAAUAAAACAUAACAUGCAAAGUAACAGAGGAAGGAACUGUUUACACAAAACAGCCAAAGCAAAUGAGAUGCAACAAUCAAAGAUCACGAAAAGAACAGGAGGCAGAAAUUUCAGAAAGCAGGGUGUCAGAGCCAGGGAAAAGCAGAAGUAAUCUUUCCCUCUGUGUCCAGGGCAGGCUUGCACAUUAGCCCACAGCCUAGCUCAAAAUAGAAGUCAGGACAAAUACUUCACAAUCUUUUGUGAUUAGAAUCAGACUCCUUUAAGCUCUCCCCACCAACCCUCUUUAACUCAG